rnacentral:rRNA from 1 species
CUUGCUCCACCGAAAGAAAAAGAGUGGCGAACGGGUGAGUAACACGUGGGUAACCUGCCCAUCAGAAGGGGAUAACACUUGGAAACAGGUGCUAAUACCGUAUAACACUAUUUUCCGCAUGGAAGAAAGUUGAAAGGCGCUUUUGCGUCACUGAUGGAUGGACCCGCGGUGCAUUAGCUAGUUGGUGAGGUAACGGCUCACCAAGGCAACGAUGCAUAGCCGACCUGAGAGGGUGAUCGGCCACACUGGGACUGAGACACGGCCCAGACUCCUACGGGAGGCAGCAGUAGGGAAUCUUCGGCAAUGGACGAAAGUCUGACCGAGCAACGCCGCGUGAGUGAAGAAGGUUUUCGGAUCGUAAAACUCUGUUGUUAGAGAAGAACAAGGAUGAGAGUAGAACGUUCAUCCCUUGACGGUAUCUAACCAGAAAGCCACGGCUAACUACGUGCCAGCAGCCGCGGUAAUACGUAGGUGGCAAGCGUUGUCCGGAUUUAUUGGGCGUAAAGCGAGCGCAGGCGGUUUCUUAAGUCUGAUGUGAAAGCCCCCGGCUCAACCGGGGAGGGUCAUUGGAAACUGGGAGACUUGAGUGCAGAAGAGGAGAGUGGAAUUCCAUGUGUAGCGGUGAAAUGCGUAGAUAUAUGGAGGAACACCAGUGGCGAAGGCGGCUCUCUGGUCUGUAACUGACGCUGAGGCUCGAAAGCGUGGGGAGCGAACAGGAUUAGAUACCCUGGUAGUCCACGCCGUAAACGAUGAGUGCUAAGUGUUGGAAGGGUUUCCGCCCUUCAGUGCUGCAGCAAACGCAUUAAGCACUCCGCCUGGGGGAGUACGACCGCAAGGUUGAAACUCAAAGGAAUUGACGGGGGCCCGCACAAGCGGUGGAGCAUGUGGUUUAAUUCGAAGCAACGCGAAGAACCUUACCAGGUCUUGACAUCCUUUGACCACUCUAGAGAUAGAGCUUCCCCUUCGGGGGCAAAGUGACAAGUGGUGCAUGGUUGUCGUCAGCUCGUGUCGUGAGAUGUUGGGUUAAGUCCCGCAACGACCGCAACCCUU